CGUGUAUUAUUUCCAUUGGAUAUUUUGUCAUUGUUGACUUCAUUGUCUCUUUCUAGGGUAUCUUUGAGAAGUUUUUGAAGUGCUGGUUUAGUGGUCAUGAAUUUCUUAGGUGCUCUUUGACAUGGAAAGACCUUAUUUCCCCAUCAAUUUUGAAAGAAAUUGUUUUCUUUUAGGGGUUGAAACACUUCACUUCAAGCUCUCCUGGUCUUUAAGAUGGAACACAAAGCCUUGCAUGUGUUGGGCAAAUGCUCUACCACUGAGAUGGAUUCCCAGGGCAGCAGCAGAAUUCUUUAUUGGCCAAAGUAAGCACAGGAAGCUCUCCCUAACUGGCUUUAUCAGAAUACUUAGUUAUUUCACAGAAACAAUGAAUGCAAUUGCAAAUGAAAAAGUUGAAAUUGCAACAGACACCAUCAAAAUCCAGAAGAGGCUAACUAUUAUGAAAAAUUGUAUUUCAACAAAUUGGACACUCUUGAAAAAUGGGAAGGUUCCUAUACUUACAUAAAUUAUCAAAACUAAAACAAAAAGACAUAAAAAUAUUGAACAACCCAAUAACAAGCAUUGAAAUUGAGGCAGUAGUAAAAACCCAACCAAUUAAAAACAGUCCAGAACCUGAUGGAUUUACUACUGAAUUUCUACAAAACCUUUGAGGACGUUUUAUCACCAAUAUUCCUCAAACUCUUCAAUGAAAUUGAAAGGGACAGAAUGCUUCCAAAUUCAUUUCAGCAUCACUCUGAUCCCAAAAUGAGACAAAGACCUGAAUAAAAAAGAAAACUACAGGCCAAUCUUCUUCUUCUUUUUUUUUUUUUUUGGUACUGGGGAUCGAACUCGGGACCUUGCCAGGCCAAUUUUCUUCUUUUUUUUUUGUAUUAAAUUCUUUUAUUGGUACAUUGUAGGUGUACAACACAAUUACAUUUCUCAUUGGGAAUUGUGCCUUUAUAUAAUGCAUCUUGGUUCUUAUUUUUUCCCCAUUCCUAGCCCUCCCUUCAUGCCCUCCACCCUUCCUAUUUACAAAGAC
ensembl:lncRNA